GCAAUUACUGAAAAAAUAGUCCAACAAAAGAUAGGAAUGAACAGGAAGUAGCACAGUCUUGCUAAUUAUCUGGAAAACUACUAUUUUCAAAAAUUUCACAAAAGACCAAGAUUUAAAUGGAGGAUACGACAGAGAAAGAAACCAAAAAUUGAACCUCCAGAAACAAAGUCUCUUGCAUGAAAGCACCGGACAGGAUUUCCGUCUUGUGUCACUCAAUCUUUUCACCUAGUGGAGACUCGGUUCACUAAAGAUGUCUCCCCUAUUUUCCGAGUGAUUGUCAGAUGGGCAGCACAGAAAGGAAUCUUCAAGGUGAUUGUCCAAGAUACUGAGAUCUACAAGAUGUGUGAAUAUGUUCUUCCCUCAACAUAGCAGUUCUUGAAGCUUUACCCAAUUUCAGAAAAGAAAAAUCUGAUUUGAGAAGCAAGAUGGUUGAAAGAUUUUUGGUUCUAGAACUUAUGUGAAAACAGGAAAGGAGGAAAAGUACUAUCGGUGCUCUUACUGAGGUAAAAGGUCAAUGCAAGUAUGUGAAAGAAAACAUAGAUUAGCAAUUAAAAGUUCUAACUGACAAAAAAAUCCUUAAAAGACUCAUAAGCCUUCUCAGAUAUCAAAACCAAGUGAAACUUCCAGAAUUUACAGUAAAUUAGGGUAGUAAGGACAAUAGCUAAAAAAGAAUCUGUUCUUUCAUACCUGUUGCUAAACUGAUACCAUCAAAUCCAUUGCUUCCUAAUAUAUUUGCAGGAAAAACUAUAGGAAAGGGAGUUUCCCUGUUUGCCCAUUGAGCUGA
rnacentral:lncRNA from 1 species